rnacentral:rRNA from 1 species
GAUGAACGCUAGCUACAGGCUUAACACAUGCAAGUCGAGGGGCAGCAUGACGGAAGCUUGCUUCCGUUGAUGGCGACCGGCGCACGGGUGAGUAACGCGUAUCCAACCUGCCCUUGUCCAUCGGAUAACCCGUCGAAAGGCGGAAUAACACGAUAUGCAGUUCACAACAGGCAUCUAACGUGAACGAAAUGUGAGGGAGAAGGAUGGGGAGGCGUCUGAUUAGCUUGUUGGCGGGGUAACGGCCCACCAAGGCGACGAUCAGUAGGGGUUCUGAGAGGAAGGUCCCCCACGUUGGAACUGAGACACGGUCCAAACUCCUACGGGAGGCAGCAGUGAGGAAUAUUGGUCAAUGGGCGAGAGCCUGAACCAGCCAAGUAGCGUGCAGGAAGACGGCCCUAUGGGUUGUAAACUGCUUUUAUACGGGGAUAAAGUGAGCAACGUGUGGCUUAUUGCAGGUACCGUAUGAAUAAGGACCGGCUAAUUCCGUGCCAGCCGCCGCAGUAAAAC